UACGAAGGGGGCUAGCGUUGCUCGGAAUUACUGGGCGUAAAGGGCUCGUAGGCGGCCAACUAAGUCAGACGUGAAAUCCCUCGGCUUAACCGGGGAACUGCGUCUGAUACUGGAUGGCUUGAAUCCGGGAGAGGGAUGCGGAAUUCCAGGUGUAGCGGUGAGAUGCGUAGAUAUCUGGAGGAACACCGGUGGCGAAGGCGGCAUCCUGGACCGGCAUUGACGCUGAGGAGCGAAAGCCAGGGGAGCAAACGGG
rnacentral:rRNA from 1 species